ACACUUUGUAUCUCUGGAAGCAUCCCAAUCAUGACUAGAAUUUAAAACUCACUGCCAACAAAGCUUGGCAAUGCAAUUAAAUGGAUUCAAAGAUGAGUGUGAUAAUUCCAACACAUGAGAGAGGCAUGAGAUUGAGAAAACACCCCUGUGCCACCCACUACUGCUUCAGGCUGAGAUAAAUGAAGGGUGUGAGGGGAGAGGAUGAGGAGGACAGCGACAAAGAUAAAGGCUGGACCAAGAUGAAAGAUGAAAGCCAAGACACACACCUCCCAGGAAGCUCUGCUAUCAGAUCAGAGAGCAAGUUAAUCCAAACCUCAGAAGUUCAUUUACUUGGAGGCUGCGGAGGAAGACAAGUAUGAUAAGACAGAAGGAAUUUUAGAGAGGAGAAAGGAGGACAAAACUGUCGUCAUGGAGACAAAACAUCUUGGUCAUGUGGAGAUGCAGCCCUCAAAAACAUAGUAAAAACAAAAGCCUGCUUAGUGAGCACUAACCAUUAAAACCUCGUGCUGAGUUAGAGACAGUGAAGAAGAGAGGAUGUCAACCAGUGCUGUGCCGAGCCACAACGAGAUGACAGCGGCGAAAUAAAAACGUCAUCUCUUCUCCAUCUCCAGAAAUAAUGUUGUAAACAGUCACUGGUCCAGUGAGACACCUAAUCUCAACACAGCAAAUGGUAACACAACUCACACCUGAGCUGCUCUGCUGUCCUCACCUCCACUCUGCAGAGUUCUCUGCUCAUCUCAGCCUCACUUCAGUAUUCAUCAAGUGUAAGUAAGUGUGCAGUCAAUCAGACCAAGCGUGGAUUAACGGAGCAGAGGCCCAGGGGUUCACAGAAAUAUGUUUGUGUUUUCAACAUGCUGUGAAUAGAUAACACCUGCAGAUACAGGGACAAUAAAUGUGUCUAUGUGUAUACUUCAAAAUAGCAAAAGACUAGGGGUGGCACAAUUCUUCAAAUACUCAAUUUGAUUUUCGAUUUUAAGGUCACAGUUCGAUUCUCAAUCUUUUUUGGUUUUAUGUCAUGAUAAAAAGAAGAGAAGUCAUAGAGUCAUGUGGCUCUGUGUUGCUCUGAAGGUCCAGCAAUCUGUUGUUAAGGCCACUAAAUCUGCACCGUUCACACCUCCAAUAACGUUUUACUUGACAUCAUACAUGGAAGACAACACCUUUGUAGCAAGAUGCGACCUGCUUGGCAUUUCCUGUUCCAUUAUGUUAAUUAAAUGCUUAAAUCCGGUUUUAAACAUUUAAAAACGGUUUGCCACCAACAAAUAAGUUUGCAUGUCAGACGCUACAAACGCACAUAUAGCAUUAGUUACCGUUUUCAACGGAGUUGUUUUCGUAGUUAAGUCGACCUCCUUAUG